AUUGAACGCUGGCGGCAUGCCUUACACAUGCAAGUCGAACGGUAACAGGUCUUCGGAUGCUGACGAGUGGCGAACGGGUGAGUAAUACAUCGGAACGUGCCUAGUAGUGGGGGAUAACUACUCGAAAGAGUGGCUAAUACCGCAUGAGAUCUACGGAUGAAAGCAGGGGAUCGCAAGACCUUGUGCUACUAGAGCGGCCGAUGGCAGAUUAGGUAGUGGGUGGGAUAAAAGCUUACCAAGCCGACGAUCUGUAGCUGGUCUGAGAGGACGAUGAGCCGCACUGGGACUGAGACGCGGCCCAGACUCCUACGGGAGGCAGCAGUGGGGAAUUUUGGACAAUGGGCGCAAGCCUGAUCCAGCAAUGCCGCGUGCAGGAUGAAGGCCUUCGGGUUGUAAACUGCUUUUGUACGGAACGAAAAGCCCUGGGUUAAUACCCUGGGGUCAUGACGGUACCGUAAGAAUAAGCACCGGCUAACUACGUGCCAGCCGCCGCAGUAA
rnacentral:rRNA from 1 species